rnacentral:rRNA from 1 species
GUCUAAGUAUAAGCACUAGUACUGUGAAACUGCGAAUGGCUCAUUAAAUCAGUUAUCGUUUAUUUGAUUGUACCUUUACUACUUGGAUAACCGUAGUAAUUCUAGAGCUAAUACAUGCGAAAAGUCCCGACUUCUGGAAGGGAUGUAUUUAUUAGAUUAAAAACCAAUGCGGGUUCUGCCCGGUUCUUUGGUGAUUCAUAGUAACUGAUCGAAUCGCACGGCCUUGCGCUGGCGAUGUUUCAUUCAAAUUUCUGCCCUAUCAACUGUCGAUGGUAAGGUAGUGGCUUACCAUGGUUGCAACGGGUGACGGAGAAUUAGGGUUCGAUUCCGGAGAGGGAGCCUGAGAAACGGCUACCACAUCCAAGGAAGGCAGCAGGCGCGCAAAUUACCCAAUCCUGACUCAGGGAGGUAGUGACAAGAAAUAACAAUACAGGGCUUUUCCAAGUCUUGUAAUUGGAAUGAGUACAACUUAAAUCCUUUAACGA